CGCAGCGUCUCUGCGCUCAGGGCGGCGCCGUCUUGAAUCAAGGUGUGCGGAGCGCAGCGCUUCGGCCCUCGGCUUGCACACAGCCUGCACACGGCCUCCGUGGAGCCGAAGCGUCGGAGAAGCCAUUUUGCACGAGGAAUGCUGGUCUGAAGGGACGCAGGCAGGUCUCUGCAAGCAGCGCCCUGUGAACAGGUGAAGCUAGACUAAGCACAAAGGAAAAAGAAAAAAAAAAAAGUUUGUGCAAAACUGCUUCCCUCUUCCACACUUCAGACGAGACUGUACUUGGAUGUAGGACUCUGGAAGGCUUGAGACGAAUCCUGCUCCUGGACCACUGGAAUGUUGGGAGCAGAGGCCAGAAGCAGAGAGAGCUCUGUGUCAGUCCACCUUAACUUUACAGCCAGUGAGCAGUAACAGAAACAGCAGAGGCAUUUAUCUCUGGUCCAAGUGCCCCUGCCCUUGGCAAGGAGCUGGGGUCUUACCCCGAUGGGAACUGGUCCCAUUCAGUCCUGGUCACUGGGCUCUGGCUUUAUUUUUCUCAGGAUCUGUAUGGAUAAGUUGCCUAGGACCCCAGUUCUUUCAGACGUCCCUGUCAGGUCCUUUUUUUUCAGUAGCAAAUGAGAUUCUUGAUCCCAAUUCAGGCUGGGGAACUGAAGCUGGGACUUCUGCUUGUCUUCACUUGUCAGCCUCCUCUACAUCCCGCCUGCUUCUCCUGGAC
rnacentral:lncRNA from 1 species